GCCCUCAUAGUUUAAGUGGAUAAAACAACUCUCUCCUAAAGAGUAGUUAGAGGUUCGAGUCCUCUUGGGGGUA
rnacentral:tRNA from 1 species